UACGUAGGGUGCAAGCGUUGUCCGGAAUUAUUGGGCGUAAAGAGCUCGUAGGUGGUCUGUUGCGUCGGCUGUGAAAACCCGAGGCUCAACCUCGGGCCUGCAGCCGAUACGGGCAGACUAGAGUUCGGCAGGGGAGACUGGAAUUCCUGGUGUAGCGGUGAAAUGCGCAGAUAUCAGGAGGAACACCGGUGGCGAAGGCGGGUCUCUGGGCCGAUACUGACACUGAGGAGCGAAAGCGUGGGGAGCAAACAGG
rnacentral:rRNA from 1 species